AGCGAACGCUGGCGGCAGGCCUAACACAUGCAAGUCGAACGAACUCUUCGGAGUUAGUGGCGGACGGGUGAGUAACACGUGGGAACGUGCCUUUUGGUUCGGUAUACCUCAGGGAAACUUGUGCUAAUACCGAAUGUGCCCUUCGGGGGAAAGAUUUAUCGCCAUUAGAGCGGCCCGCGUCUGAUUAGCUAGUUGGUGAGGUACCGGCUCACCAAGGCGACGAUCAGUAGCUGGUCUGAGAGGAUGACCAGCCACACUGGGACUGAGACACGGCCCAGACUCCUACGGGAGGCAGCAGUGGGGAAUCUUGCGCAAGGGGGGAAAGCCUGACGCAGCCAUGCCGCGUGAAUGAUGAAGGUCUUAGGAUUGUAAAAUUCUUUCACCGGGGACGAUAAUGACGGUACCCGGAGAAGAAGCCCCGGCUAACUACGUG
rnacentral:rRNA from 1 species